UACGUAGGGUGCGAGCGUUGUCCGGAAUUAUUGGGCGUAAAGAGCUUGUAGGCGGUCUGUCGCGUCUGCUGUGAAAAUCCGGGGCUCAACCCCGGACUUGCAGUGGGUACGGGCAGACUAGAGUGUGGUAGGGGAGAUCGGAAUUCCUGGUGUAGCGGUGAAAUGCGCAGAUAUCAGGAGGAACACCGGUGGCGAAGGCGGAUCUCUGGGCCAUUACUGACGCUGAGGAGCGAAAGCGUGGGGAGCGAACAGG
rnacentral:rRNA from 1 species